rnacentral:lncRNA from 1 species
CCACAAUUUCCAGCCAUUGAUUUUGAUGGGCCCAUCCUAGGUUGGGAGGCCAAAGGUUUAGCUGAGCUCCUUGAAGGAUUAACUAUGAAUUGGUGUACACUCUCUCUUUCUUUCUCAAUGAUGCUAGUCACAAGGACGCCGUUGCAUCUUAAGGGAGGCCUGGAUUUAGGGAGUGAGGGGGUCAUUUCCAAUAGCAGCCCACAAGGAAGAUCUAGGAAGCUGAAGCCCAAUACUUCUCCCAGUGAUGGAAAUGACUACCAGCUGUUUCCAUUCAACAGAGCAAACACAGCUAGAAAAGAGAGGAGGGAACCUUAAACGCCCUUCUUUAUAGACUUGAACUCGCCCCCAAGCGAACACGCAAGGGCUAAAAGAAGGGUUUGUUGACCAAUGACUGAACUCUGGAUGUUGGUAGGAUUUGUGCCUGAAAACCCAGGCUGCAUUCCUUUGUUAUUUUUAAUCAGGCCAUUCAAAUUUCUUCUCCGGUACCUGCUUCAUUCAUGAGCCUGGCGGGUGGACCUUCUGUGGUUUGAGGGAGAAAUGGGUCUGAAAGCCAAUCUGCCUUUCUCCAAAGGAAAGGGAAGCAGAAAGGGAUCUCAAGGAAGGUGAGGAGUCUCCUGGGAUGAAGAAUAGAAGACAAAUUAGGGGCGGAGGAGAGGUAGAUUUGGAUAUGGUGGCGGUGAAACCCUCCGAGAUGGACCAGGCUCCUUUUCAACUUGAACUGACAGAGCUCGGCAUAGAAAUCUGGGAAGAAGAGAUUGACGAGGAAACUGUUGUUUUGUACAAAGAACGGGUGACCCCAGAUGACAGUGAGAAACAUCGGUCAGAAGAUGGCCAACGGGCUGGAUCCCAGAGGCCAUCAACGUGGGAAGGAGUCGGGCCCGCUCCUUAUGAAGAAGACCCCGAUGAAACGGCACUUCAAAAAGUUAUGGAUGCUAAUAAAAAAAAUAGGCCCUCGAAUGGUAUAUGCACAAAGCAGGAUUUCCCUCAUCGUUUCCAAGAGAGGACCACAGGACGGCAAGAGGGCCAUCCAGUAGAAGAAACGGGCUACUCCAUUCUUUCCAAAGCUCUCUGAGAAACCACAGUCCAGAUGGACGUCAGUAAUGGUAAGAAACAACAGCCCUGCUUGUUAGAUUGGGAAAUCUUCCGGGAUAACGGAGCAAUGUGUAAUUUAGUAUAAGGAAGGCCCUCUCCAUCGGCCGGAGAGUUGUCACCUCUGGUAAGAAGAAACAAGGUAUGCAGAUUCACCAGGUUACUCAGCAGGAUCUCAGUUCUGGAGAUUCCAGGGCUGAGAAUAAGAGUGGAGUCCAAUGAUGAUG